AGAGUUUGAUCCUGGCUCAGGACGAACGCUGGCGGCGUGCUUAACACAUGCAAGUCGAGCGGUAAGGCCCUUUCGGGGGUACACGAGCGGCGAACGGGUGAGUAACACGUGGGUGACCUGCCCUUAGCUCUGGGAUAAGCCUGGGAAACUGGGUCUAAUACCGGAUAUGACUCCAUGACGCAUGUUGUGGGGUGGAAAGCCUUGUGCGGCUAGGGAUGGGCCCGCGGCCUAUCAGCUUGUUGGUGGGGUGAUGGCCUACCAAGGCGACGACGGGUAGCCGGCCUGAGAGGGCGACCGGCCACACUGGGACUGAGACACGGCCCAGACUCCUACGGGAGGCAGCAGUGGGGAAUCUUGCGCAAUGGGCGAAAGCCUGACGCAGCGACGCCGCGUGGGGGAUGACGGCCUUCGGGUUGUAAA
rnacentral:rRNA from 1 species